CGUGGUGUGCUUCGGGUGCACGCGGUGGGCGUGGAAGCGGCUGACUUACAUCGGCGCCUACGACAGCGAGACGUGGCCGGCGGCGACCCCGGAGGAGUUCGAGCCGAUCCCCCGCAUCUGCCGCGUGAUCCUCGCCGUCUACGAGGACGACCUCUCCCGCCCCCGCUUCCCGCCCCCCGGCGGCUACCGCAUGGACCCCACCUGCGUCGUCAAGCGCGCCACCUACGACGACACCGGCCCCAACUGCCCCCCCUACCUGCUCUACCUCGACCGCCCCCACCGCCAGCUCAUCCUCGCCAUCCGCGGCCUCAACCUCGCCCGCGNUAUAUAUAGAGCUCUCUCUCUCUAUAUACAUAUAUAGAACUAGGCUGGAAUAUUGUUAAUAACACUAAGUUAUUGGUGCUAUUAGUUUUUUAGCCUUUGAAUUGAGAAAUGUACGGUUAUGAUGAUAUGGGUCUCUUAGGGUUGAGUGAGUGGUUGGUUGAAUAGUAUAAUCUAACGGGUAAAAAUAAUCAAGGGGUUAAAUCUAACGAUAAAAAACUUGAUAGGACCAAGCCCUUGGUGCUAUCGAUAGUAUCCUAACCGGACUUCAUAUAUAUAUAAUUAAGUGAACAAUAAGUAGCAAGACCGACCGUCCCUAGAGUAAGUGACAAAGGGUUUGGUGAUUGGUACCCAAGGUCCUAAGUUUGAAUGCUAGUUGAUUUACAUUUCGAGAUAAAUUUAUUUCUAAAUAAAAUAAACUAAACUAAACGGGUAGCGAGCUACCUAUCUUUCUAAAAAAAAAAUAAUAAUAAACAGCAAGACACAAGACCGACCGUCCCUAACGCAAGUGGUAAAAAGCUUGGUGGUUGGUAUCCGAAGUCUAAAAUUUGAACUCUAGUUAAUUCCUAUUUUUAAUUCCUAUUUUUAACUAAAUUUAAUUUAUUAAAAAAUAAACAAAACGUACAACAUAUUACCUUUCUCUCAAAAAUAAAUAAAUUAAUUAAUUAAUAAGAAGCAUGUAUGGACUGCAGUGCCCAGAUCCUCACCCUUUGCACGCCAGCAAACCCCAGCAAGACAUCCACCUGCAAGGCUGGAAACUUCCAUCCUACUUUUGCCUGGCUGCUGAGUUCCUUCCCCCUUCCAUAAGCAAGCGAUGUAAGAAAGCGCAGCAAAAACCAAAAUAAACUCCUACCCCCUCUUUCCUCCUCUUCCUCCUCCUCCCACUACCGGCGCUUUUUUCAAAAGAAAAAGAAAAGGAAAAGGAAAGGAAAAAAUGUCGGUGUCGUGCGGGCUGGAGUGCGUGGUGUGCUUCGGGCGGCUACCGCAUGGACCCCACCUGCGUCGUCAAGCGGGCCACCUACGACGACACCGGCCCCAACUGCCCCCCCUACCUCCUCUACCUCGACCGCCCCCACCGCCAGCUCAUCCUCGCCAUCCGCGGCCUCAACCUCGCCCGCGAGAGCGACUACAAGGUCCUGCUCGACAACCGCCUCGAGCUCCUCGACGGCGGCUACGUCCACCGCGGCCUGCUCAAGGCCGCCGUCUGGAUCCUCGACCGCGAGUCCGACGCCCUGCGCCGGCAGCUGCACGACCUCGG
rnacentral:lncRNA from 1 species